GGACUACCGGGGUAUCUAAUCCCGUUUGCUCCCCUGGCUUUCGCGCCUCAGCGUUAGAAGAGGUCCAGUGGGUCGCUUUCGCCACCGGCGUUCCUUCUGAUAUCAACGCAUUUCACCGCUCCACCAGAAGUUCCACCCACCCCUACCUCCCUCGAGUUCGCCAGUAUCAAAGGCACUUCUACAGUUGAGCUGCAGGAUUUCACCCCUGACUUGGCAAACCGCCUACGCGCCCUUUAAGCCCAGUGAUUCCGAACAACGUUCGCACGGUUCGUCUUACCGCGGCGGCUGGCAC
rnacentral:rRNA from 3 species